UUGGAAUUAGCUCAGUGGCAGAGCUCCGGUCCAUAAACUGGUAGCCGCCGGUUCGACUCCGGCAUUCCAAA
rnacentral:tRNA from 1 species